GAUGAACGCUGGCGGCGUGCUUAACACAUGCAAGUCGAACGAAACACCUUAUUUGAUUUUCUUCGGAACUGAAGAUUUGGUGAUUGAGUGGCGGACGGGUGAGUAACGCGUGGGUAACCUGCCCUGUACAGGGGGAUAACAGUCAGAAAUGACUGCUAAUACCGCAUAAGACCACAGCACCGCAUGGUGCAGGGGUAAAAACUCCGGCGGUACAGGAUGGACUCGCGUCCGAUUAUCUGGUUGGUGAGGUAACGGCUCACCAAGGCGGCGAUCAGUAGCCGGCUUGAGAGAGUGCCCGGCCACAUUGGGACUGACACACGGCCCACACUCCUACGGGAGGCAGCGGUGGGGAAUAUUGCACAAUGGGGGAAACCCUGAUGCAGCGACGCCGCGUGAGUGAAGAAGUAUUUCGGUAUGUAAAGCUCUAUCAGCAGGGAAGAAAAUGACGGUACCUGACUAAGAAGCCCCGGCUAACUACGUG
rnacentral:rRNA from 1 species